rnacentral:ncRNA from 2 species
CCCGUACAGGGGGAAGCCGGUGCAAUUCCGGCGCUGACCCGCAACCGUCACAGCCGGAUCGCCCGGUACGGG